UUCUAAAGACAAAAGGAGGGUAUGAAGAUGCUACAGAUGCACGUGCUCGAUUAUCAAAUUAAUUACGUACGCCGUGCAAUUAUUCACGAUUCAGCUGUCAACGGGACACGUAUGUCCAAAAUGGCAAUUGAAUAGUGAAGAAUGUAGCGUCUCAUAUCUGAUCAAAAGGUAGAUACAAAAGUCAGAGGUAACGGGACCUCUGGCUUUUU
rnacentral:misc_RNA from 1 species